rnacentral:rRNA from 1 species
AACGAACGCUGGCGGCAAGCUUAACACAUGCAAGUCGAACGAGAUCUUCGGAUCUAGUGGCAGACGGGUGAGGAACACGUGGGAACAUCCCUUUCAGUUCGGAAUAACGUUGGGAAACUAACGCUAAUACCGGAUACGUCCUUCGGGAGAAAGAUUUAUCGCUGAAAGAUUGGCCCGCGUCUGAUUAGCUAGUUGGUGAGGUAAUGGCUCACCAAGGCUACGAUCAGUAGCUGAUCUGAGAGGAUGAUCAGCCACAUUGGGACUGAGACACGGCCCAAACUCCUACGGGAGGCAGCAGUGGGGAAUAUUGGACAAUGGGCGCAAGCCUGAUCCAGCCAUGCCGCGUGAGUGAUGACGGCCUUCGGGUUGUAAAGCUCUUUUGUCCGGGAAGAUAAUGACUGUACCGGAAGAAUAAGCCCCGGCAAACUUCGUGCCAGCAGCCGCGGUAA